GGGCGAUUAGCUCAGGGGUUAGAGCGCGACACUGAUAAUGUCGAGGUCGAUGGUUCAAAUCCAUCAUCGCCCACCA
rnacentral:tRNA from 2 species